CACAGAGGCCGUCCUCUUAAUGCUCCCAGGGACGGCCCGGGCCACGCCAUCACUGCCCUGCGGUGACACCAGGCUGCUGAAGCUGGCCGCGCUGAUGGAGGUGUUGGUGGGUGGCUUAGGUUCCUUCUCUGGGGGCUCCCGUCCCCCUUGGGCAUGGCCUGAUCUCUGCAAUUCUAGAUCAUAAACGCUUAUGGGGUGAGGCUACCUCCCUGCAGAACUGGGGGCUUCUUGGAAGAAGGAGCUGCACUGAGGGCGCCGGGGUUCCCCGGGCUGCACCAGCAGCGGGAUCUCAGGAAAUGGGUGAGUGAACCUUGGUCGAUCUGCCUCACGGUGUAAGGAGGGGGAGUUUCAGUCACCCAGUCGCACUACUGCGGCCACCAUCUGAUGUCGGGGUGUGGUGCUCAACCUGGAACAGAGCUUAAUGUCGGAAGAUGAACUUAAGCCGGUGGCUGUGUCUGGUUCUGAAGAAUGUGUUUCACAAAGAUUUUACUUUCUUCAGAGGAAAUCACUUUGAAGCAAACACAGGAAGGUUACGUUUCGAAGCAGGUGUGUCUACUCAGACCACAGCCAUCUGACCAGGAGCCCCUCACUCAGGCAUCGAUGGAUUUGAGGGGGCUGGCAGCCCAGAGGGCCGAUGGGCAGCGGUGGCCAUCACGGCGGUUCUCCGAGAUGUGGCAGAUCCGAGCACCUCAGUCCUUCCUGCCUGCCAUCCUGGCCCUUCACGACUCUCCUAGGUCCCCUGUCCAGAACCCCUCCACCUGCCUCUCCUUCCACGGUGCCCUGGACAUAAGGAGCCUCAGGUGCUGCCCACAUGCCCUGCUGCUACGUGCAGUCCCUGCAUCCACGCACAGAAGCUGCUGACACAGUUGACACAAAAGGGAUUGCUACCAAUGGAGCUGGUUUCUAAAGCUCUGUGGGUAAUUAUUUUGUCUCAGUGAAAUGAAAGGAGGGUAAACAAACAACAAUACAUUAAUUAGUCUGAUCUACACUUUUCUCCACGAAAGAGGAGAGCAAAGUUAAACAUUGGAGGCUGGCAGCUUUUCAGAGAACCCGAGAGUCCUCGGAGGGCUGGCAGGGCAGGAUGUGGUGCACAGGCACCCAGCCUGCGCCCCCAGUCCCAGCCCUUUCUCUCACCUGGCCUGGCCCGGGUUCUGUCUCCCAGGGAGGAACACCUGCCUCUCCUCCCCGCCGCAGUUCUCUGCUUCCGUGUCCUGGGGUUGGCACCUUUGCCAAGCAAAGUCCACCAUGGGCAUUUCUGGUGGGGCUGACAGGUCUCUCAAAGGCCCUGUGUGCUGAGCGGUUGCCAGUCACCCCUGCAGGCAGGAUUGCUCUCUCAGGUUCCUAUUUUAAAGCCGACCAUCACCCUCGGGCUUAUCCCUAUUGUGAAUCCUGGUGUGUGGCUUCUAGGGUUGCUUGGGAUGACCUCUGCCCCAAUACCAUCGUUUCCAGAACUGGCCUGGAGUCCCAGACACCCUCAGGUCCUGGGCUCAGGAGUGGGGGUCUACAGAGUGCCCAAGAGAGGGCUCCCAGGACUCAAACACUCUGUUCUAGAAGCAGAGACCACAGCCUCACUCCCUCACCCCCGGCUGCAUUGCUCAAUGCUCAGCAUGGGCUCAAAGGUCAGGCUGACCUGAAUGAAACCCUGGCACUGGAGUCAGGCUCACUGAGCCUCUGUCUCAUCACGGGAGUAACAGUACCUGCCUCCCAGGACUAUCACGAGGAUUAAAGGGGGCCAGGCCACUAACAUGGCUGGCCCUGUUUCCUUCCCUACCUCCCCCUCUCCUUGCAGGGCCUCCCUGACCACCCCUCCCCUGAGGCUGGCCCUGUGUGCCCUGUUUGUUCUCCCCGACCUGUAAACUCAGUGGAGUUUGCAGACAGGACCAGCUGGUUCUGUGUGCUGUUCUGGGACAGCCUGAGCCUGCCCGCUGUAUUUCUAGGCCCCGGACUGAACUGCAGAGCCCUCAGAUUCUCAGAGAUGCCUCCACACCUUAGGUCGGAGCCGCUGGCCUUCACUAACUUGUUCCUCCCCCUGCGGCGAGGACUGGACUGGGUCUGAUUGCGACAAGGAGACCGGGCUGUGGAGCCAGGAUGGACAGAGGAGCAGAGAGCUCCACAGUUUGAAGAUGGGAGAGGAAGAGGCGGCUGGUCAGGUCCUGGACAGCACCUGGGAGGUCACAGGCCCAGCCACUCCCAGACAGGCAAUGCCUGGGCCAUUGAGAGCAAGCAGCUCAUACCGCAGUUGCUUCUGCAGGUUACUGAUGAUCUGUGGUGACCCGUCAACACGGAGACCCCUGUUUGCUAACCUGUGACCUGCGGCCACCACAGCAUGAGAAGUGGGGACUCGGACUGAUCAAAGUCACUGUCCUCAGAGCUCUGGGGCUGGCUAAUCUGCCCUCCCCUGGGGAGGGCAUCCUCAGGAACAGGGCCUGGCCAGGCCUGGUCCUGUUUGAGUGAAGAUGGCAGGGUAGAGAGAUGGGUCCCCAACAACCCUUGUGGGCGAGCUGCAAUGGACAGGAUCUCUGCUACUGGAUGCCAAAUAACACUGGCACUGAGACGCCAUCCCACUUCCAUCUCCCUUGGAAGUGGACCUGGCAUGUGUGCUGAUCCCCAAGAUGAGCUGCACAGAGGCCCAAAGGGUCCUAGGGGUGCUGACUUUGAAUUUAAAUUUCUCCUGCAGCAUGAAAGUGAGUAAGCCAGACCAGUUCUACUGGCGAAGGCAAGCCCUGGCCCCUCUGAGGAAGCCCACACCAUCUUUUGGGAUCUCUAAGCCUUACUUUGGGAACUUCUGGGAAUCUGGGUCAGGUGUUGCCCCAUGUUGGGCUAGGAUGGGUCCUGGCCCUCCCUCACACCACUUGCAUCUGGUCCUCAUGCCUGCUGAGCCCUCUCAUCCCGGCAGCAGGGCUGGGAGUCCUGGAGCAGAGGGACCUCCUCUCAUCGUCUUUGUUUCCAAAGGCUCACGUCUAGCAGGAGCUGAGCCAAGCCCCAGGUUUCCGCAGGAAAGGCGGAGAGGAGUGUUCCAAUCCAAUGACCAGAAUGUGCUCGCAUCCCCGGCAGCACUGAGAUCAGGGCCGGCCCAUUUCUGCCUGGAUGCCUGCUGGGGAGGGGUUGGCAUGGCAACAUGAGCUCUGAGCUGCUGAAACUUGGAGUCAACUCGUAGCUGGGAGGACAGAAAGAACGACGGAAGAGGAUGCUUUCCCAUGCGACGCAGGUGAGACAAAUCCAGGCUAAUCCCUGAAAGCCACAUCCCAGAAGCAGAACCGGGGUCCAGGGUCUGGUGUGAACACGUGCUGUAGCAACGACUCCCACCAACACAGCUGUACCAGGUAAAUGUCUAUUCACCCUUCCAUGUCCAAAGCACCUGCCUCCCCUUCCUUGAAGCCCUCCCCAGCCUCCCUACCCCUCCCAUCUCUCCCUCCCUUGCAUAUCCCCAACUGUCCCUCUAAUCUGGUACUUGCCGGUUUGCACAUAAGGCCCCCCACCAGCCUGGGAGCUCCCAGUGGAGUCUCAAACACCAACACAGGCCCGAAUCCCAGCCUGCUCCAGCGCUAUGGAUGUGGCAGGCCUACUUUGCUGCCCCACACCAAUGCAAGGGGAGGGCCAUGAGCUACACCAGGCCAGUCGGCACCCCAGCAGCCUCUUGACCCCACUGAAUGGUCACACGACCCUAGCCCUUCCUGGACCCCUCGAGAAAGAGGCCUGCAUUUUCUCUGAGAUGGAAGCACUAAGAGCCUAAAGCUUCUGGAGCCCUCCUGGAGAGUGAAUCCAGUUCAGAGGAAAACAGACCUUAGGGCCGGAAGGAGAGAGGUCAAGUCCUGGUGACAUCUUUGAGCUCCAGUUUCCCUGUGCCUGAGGCCAACGCAAGCCCCAGAGUUUCUAACUAACGAGUUGGCAAAGUACCUUUUUCUUUGCUCUAGACACUUUGAGCUGGGUUUCUGUCACUUGCCCCCAAAAGGAUCCUGACUAAUAUAUACCUGCUACUUGAUUUUUCCAAAACUUAAUUCUUAUCAGUUCCCUUGCUGUGCAAACCUCCCUUGGUACCCCCUGGCUUGCCUACUGGGAAAAGGGGGUCUCCCUCCCGAGUCCUCGAAGGCCUGGUGAGACCUGGUGCCUGUGGUUUGUGCCCCAUGAGCAUCCCUUAGGAGACAGCAGUGCAGACAUUAUAAGCACAAACUCUGGUGUCAGAAGUGCAGGUUCAGGUCCUGCUUCUGAUAUUGGACAAGGUGCUUAACUGACUCUCUGAGCUGUAGUUUUCUCAUCUGUUAAGCACACAUAGUAACAAUAUCUCAGGGUAGUUAGCGAGGAUGGAUGGGCAGCACUUAGCAUGGUGCCUGACACAUCUCUAAUACAGUCAGCCCUCUGAAUCCACGGUUCCUCACUCCUCCAUAUCCGUGGAUGCGGAUCCCACAGAUACGGAGGGCUGACUCUAAGGGACUUGAGCGUCUCUGGAUUUUGGUAUCUGUGGGAGGUCCUGGAACCAAUCCCCUGUGGAUACUGAAGGACGACUGUAAUAUUACUUUAUUACUACUACUACUACUGUUAAUUUCUUUGUUGCAAAGGCCCUCAAGAUACAGCUGGAGCCUUUGAAGUUUCCUCCGCGUGUGCUUGGUUGCUUGACAAAAAGCGUGCCCUGCUAUCCCAAAUGAGGGGCGGGGAUGGUGCAGGGGAUGCCGGGCUUCCAUCUCCAGACAGGACUGUCUAUUGUGGGCUGCUUGUGCAAGCCCAAGUCACAGGCCUCUGCAGAAGCCAGAUGCAGGCAGUGGGGCCAUAAAAUUUUCAAAACGAAAUUUUCCAUGGGAGCUAUUAAUGCGUCAUGUGGUUUCUGAGAAUAGGAACAGGCUGCAAGCAGCUCUGCGGCGCUCCUUCAAUCAGUCAGCCUCGGCACUUCCAUGUCAGAACUCAGAAAGCCCAGAUAAAGGCAGUUCCUGCGUGACCGGAAAGCAAAUCUUAAGCCAAGUUGAAGUUAUAUGUGCUGGGGUGCCCCAACCAACCUAGUGUUUAGAGUUGCAAGACCUCUGGGUUCAGGACCUUGUGUAGCAGGGAUGUGGGCCAGUUGCCUGGGAGUGUGGGCUCCAUAUGGGGUGGGGCUGAGUUCAAAGAUCUGGCCACCCUACCCUCUAUGGUCUGCCAUUCCAGAAUCAUCUGUUGGUGACUGAAAUGGGGACUGUUAAGGAGAAGGCUGGAUGGUGGCUGAUACCUAAAUCCACCCCUGUGCCAUCCUGAGCGGCAUCUUCUCUCAUUCCUAUGUACCCUUGUAUUAGGUUCAGGAACCUGCCUGCAGCCAGAUCUGUCUGCCUAGAGUCUGCUGAGGGCUGAAGCCCAUAGGGCGCCUGCCAGUCCUUUGCCCUCACGACGGCUGAACCCAGGGUGGGGAGGUGCUGGGGGGUGAGGGCUUCCUGCAUAAUGAAUAUCAGGUCUGAGAUGGCCCUGUUCACAGGGUCUGCUCCACUUGGCAUUGACAGGGCAGCUCCAGGGCAGGACUGGAGCAGGCAGUUGUUGACCACUGGAGAGGUCACGUGCCAACAGCUGAGCAUCUAGACGGGCCUGGGCCUCCUACUUCAAGAGCUCUGAGCCUGCCCAGGUGCUGAGGUUUGUGCCUGAGCCUCACCUUGCAAGUGGCCAGAAGCCGGGCAUCCUGGAACUCCCUAGCAGGUCACGUCACCUGCCUCAGGUGAGCCCUGUGUUGUCUGCUGUGUGACCAGCUGAGUGCCAGCCCCCAACAAGUUCCCUGCUGGCCAGUGCCACUCAGGAGAGUCCUUCCUCAGGGACGGACACUAGGAGGAAUCUCGCUUCUCUCAGGCUCCGCUGUUGAGGCUUUUGUCCCAGCAAACUCCCUGCUUCCCUGACAUGAGAGCUGAUGUUAAUGGUCCCUGAGCCGAACAAGGCUUGGAACAUACUUCACUUAAGAAGAAAUGACAACAUACUUUCUGUGGGAGUGGAACUUUAAAUACAAGUCCACACAAAUGGCAGGAUUUAUGCAGACUCAGUGUUCAGCUGGGUUUCAAAUACAGCCUUUCCUCCUGGAAUGGAUUGGCUGGCAGAGCAGUGUGUAGGCAUUUCAAGGCACCAGAGAACACAGAUGAAGACAACAAACCUCCCUAAAACGGAAUAGACUUGCUAAAAUUCUUCUGAAAGGAAUCAUUUCACAUUCAGCCUGAAGUUUUCUAUGCAAAGAACAUUUAACAAACUGAGUCCUAGAGGAGAAUUUAUGCGAAGAUUAAAAAGCAAAUCAGUGCGAAUGAGUAAAUAAAAUCAGGCAUCAGCAUCUCACCAACCUUCCCUGUAGCUCUGGGCAGCUGGGCCCGAGGGCUGCAUUUCUGAACUGAGACUGGAUCUCACUCCCCACUGAGGGCUGAGGUCCUUGUCCUGGGCCCUUUCAGAGGCCUUGGACACCAGGCCACUGCUAUCCUCAGGUCCUGCCUCUGCACACGGCACCACAGGAGCCCUUGGCUCUGAGAGAACCAGCCAGAAGACCUCCUGAGAGAGGAUGGCCCAGCUCAGGCCGAACCAUGGACUGCUUGCUUGGGGAGGCCUCCGACCUGCCUGCAGGGCUGUCCUGGGCCUGCUCCAGAAGGUAUAACUGGGAGGGGAUUGGGGGCUGCUGUCUGCUACCCUGGGGAGUGGGACUUAGAGCUACAUUUGCAUAAGAAUGUGAAUUAGUCAUUUGUCCACAGCAAAGACCAGUGGGGAAGACAUCAUGGGGAUCUAUAGCCCCCCAAGUUCCCUCUAAUUGCUACCACCAAAACUGCUUCCAGGGGUCUUCUGAGGCUCUGGGUUCCAGUUAACCCCUGCCUCUCUGGUAGUGGUGCCCUGUCUAUACCUGCUCUUAGCUGUUGAAUCCUACACUUCUGAAAAGGGAGACAAGAACUCUUGGAUGGAAACCACAUGUCCCCAGAUUGCUGGUGUAGACAUUGCUAGUGUAGACAGUGACGUGUUUCCAUUCAGGAGUGACUAACUUAAAAAGAUAUGCAUGCUUUGCCUUUGUGAAGAUCCGGGUUAGACUUUUCUUCCCUUUUUGCCCACAUCUGCCUGCAAGCCUAGGACAGGCCUCUUACGUCGCUUCUUCUGGCCCCUAGAGCAGUGCGGGCCUACUUUCUAGGCAUGAGGCAAGAUUGCACCUCCUGGUCCCCUUGCAGUUGGGUGUGACUAGCUCUGACCCACAAGCUGUGAGUGAAAGUGAUGUGUGUCACUGCUGGGCCAGAGUACUUCACAGCAGGUAUAUGCGGUUGGUCCUGGGGGCCAAGCAGGGCCUGCAGGGGAUGGGAGGAGGGAGCUUCGAGAUGAAGCCAACAGCCUGGGGUGUCAGAGCCCAGAGGCCAGGCGUGGUCAGACGCUGCCAGGUCGUGCUGGCUGACUGGUGCCCGCCAGGGCUGGUGAGGGGCAGAGGCAGAGGCAGAGGCAGAGGCAGAGGCAGGGCAGCAGCUGUCGAGCUGGGAGGCUGGGGGUGCUCGGCAUCCAUUCCCUAUGAGUCAGAUGCUGCUCGGGGUAUUUCACAGCAAGGGCCCAAGAAUUUCUGGGGGCAGAGCCUUGCUUUCUAGGGUGUGUGGGGGGUCCUCCUAGAGGGUAUGGAGACAGGAAAUUGGUGGGUGGUGGGUGAAACAUGGGUGAAACAAGCAGUGAGCAAGGGAGGGAGGUAAGAUGGGGUGGCAGAGAGAGGUGAGAGUAGGCGCAAGGAAGGCAGUGUCACUCAGGAGCCCUGCCUGCCAGCCUGUGCCCUCGAUGGCCACAGUGACCGCCAGAUCCCAGAUUACAGGCCGGGAGGAGACGCCGGGGGAGGAGCAGCUGUGGAAAAUGGGCUUGAGAAGAGGCUCCAAUGCAUGCACUUACAGUUUACCCCUAGGUGGUUCUGUUUAACUUAAGUGCUUAGAAUCCGGUUAGCAUCCAACCCAUACCACACAGACCUCAGAGUAGUGAGAGCCUGGUGUGUGCUGGCUGCACUCUGGAAGGACUGAGUGACCCCCUGGCUGUGACCCUCUGGCUGGCUUCGGGUCUGGGCAGCCACCCAGCUUGACGCUACCUGCACCACCCCCACUGCUAGACAGAAGGUGCACAGGGUAUCUCACCGGGCUUUCCGGUAGAGAUUUGGAAAGAACAUUUCCAGAACAGAGGUCAGCACCAAUGCGAAAACAGUCUAUGCAGUUUCAACCAGAUUUGCUUUAAGAAACAGGUCCAACAGGAGGCCUAAGCGGCUUGAUCCUCAUCUCUCCCUCAGCUCUCUUCCCCCUGGUCCUGGGCCACCAUCCUUCUUGUUCCCUUCCUGCCCUUGGGACUGCUCUUUCUCCGAGCCCUUUGUUGUCCCCUCCUCCCUGGCCCACCCCUUAGGAGCUGGACCUUCCCCUGCCUCCUCUCUCUUCUCUUGGUUGAUCUCUCAUGGGUCACCUGUUCCCAGGUGAGAGCCAGCCCAGGUGUCUCUCCUGACCUCUGACCCCAUGAAUUUAAUUGACAGCUCUCUACCAUCCCCUAAAAGUUUAUCAUUUGUCUUCCUCUACUUCCCCAACACCAGCUCUGUCUCCUGAGUGGUCCUAGGCCCCUGGACCUCCUCCAUACCCACCUCCUGUCACCCAGCCCACGGUUCUGCCUCCCUAACCCCUUGCAUCCAUUCCCAUGGCUACGCCCAGUUCAGGCCUCACCCUCUCCCACCUAGAUGCUGUGACAGCCAUCACCUGGUCCCCCUGCAGCUGGCCUUCCUCCUCUGAUCCACAUGGCAGCUGGUGGCAUCUUUCUAAACUACACAUUAGGUCACAUUGCUCCCCUGCUAAACUCUUCAGUGGCCCUUGCUGACCCCAGGAAGAUGCACCUGGCAGAGAAGGACAGGAAAGGGGGGGCGAGGCCCUGCAGCCUGAUUGCUUUGCAUCCGCCUACUUCUGAAGUCCCGGGGACCCCGACCUGCGCAAUUUCCCCUGAAGCUCUUCUAGCCCUCCAUGCCUUUGCUGAGGCAGUUUCCUGCAGCCAUCAUCUGUGCGAAGGGAUGAGGCCUCAGCAGAGGCGCUCAGGGUUUGGAAGUCACAGUGAUGGUCUCUUCACCAAACCCCAGCCAGUCCCCUCCUCUGUGGCCCCAGGGAUAACUAGAGACCUUUGGCCCGGCUCAACUGAGCCAUUUCUCUCUUGACCUUGUUAGUUUCCAUGCAUUUAUUGCAUGUUUGCAGUCUGCACACCAGAAAGGUAACCAGCCUCCCAUACUUUCAGAUCUACCACACUAGACACAGAACUGAGAGAGCGAAGGCUUGAGCAAUGUUGGCAAAUUCCAUACCUCAAAACAAAGGGAGGGAGGGCCUUAUGUGUGUGGCCCUAUAGAGUGUCUGCAGGACCAGGGACCCUGCCCACAUGGUGACACCAGCAACUUUGGAGCUCAUCCACCCACUUUGACCUCCAGUCCUGGGGAACUCAACUUCUUUUUUUCCCUUGCAGACACUCAGUACUUUAUCCCAUCACCUGUAUGUUGGGCACAGAGUAGGCAGAUAAGAGGAACCCCUGAUGACUGAUUGACAAGCGACAGCCCUGCCCCCUGCAGACCUGGAGUCCAGCCAGGGUGGCUUCAGCAAUCCAGCUCAUCUGGGGCCACCUGUGGCCCGCUCAGGACCUCAAACUCAUUUCCUCCCUCCCUGCCACACUCUCUCCCUGUGAGGUGGGACUACGAGCCAGUCAUGGCAGAGACAUGAGGGAGACUAGAAAUGAGCCUCAGAAAAGCAGAACAAACAGUCCACUUCUUGGGACAUCUGAGCAGAAUGUGCUCUUGACACUGAUGGUGCAGCUACACUGUACAACCACCCCAAGCAGAUAUUGUUGGCUCCAUUUACAGAUGAGAAAACUGAGACUCAGAAAAGUAAAUGACAGUCCCCAAGAAGUGUAGCCUGGUCACCAGACCCCAAUUUCCCAUUCCUCUCUGCAUUUCUCACCAAAGUUUAAUACACAUGAUAUGCAAAAUAUGCAAAUGAGCGCUGUCCAGCACCAAGCCCCGCUAACUCCAGGACAAGCUCCCCACACUAUCCCCCUUGUCUUGCUUGUUCUUCCCUCUCAGUUCCCACCAAACAAGAUCCUCACCCUGUCUUUCCAGUCUCUGAAGCUUACAUUUGUCACCCACCCCCACUGAGCCCUUAGUGAAGACCCUAAUAAAUUUCCUCCCUCCCUGUGGACUGCCGGCCUCAUCCAUCUCCUCUUUUGUUUUUCCAUCCAGUCACCAUCACCUUGGACCCCCAAAUCUCCCUACUCCCAGCUUGGUGACCUCCCCAGAAACCGUGAAGACAUCUAAUUUACCAGUAUUUGGGAGGAAGCAGGUUCUUAUAAUGGUCUUGCUGUGCUGGCUCCUGGACUGAAGUUCCCAACUGUCAGGGGGUCAGAAAAUGUGUUUCUGGUUUCCACUUUUAUUGUAGUAGUUUGAAUUAUUUCUCUGGGAUGGAUUCGAGACUAGAAUUACGAGGUAAACUUUAAAGCUUCUGAUACAUAUUGCCAAACUGCUUUUCUCCAAGGUUGUUUGAGAGUGCCUGUUUCACAGCAUCCUUUCCGUGAAAUGCACUGGGUUUUAGCAUUAAAAAAAUUUUUUUUAAAAUAGUUUAAUGGGUAAUGAUAUCUGAUUACAAUUUCCAGGAUAUUUAAAUUGUAUUCCUUCAUUAUUGUGAAGUGCUGCCUCAAUCCUUUUCCUACUUAUUGAAGGAGUUAGAAUUUCCUCCAUAGAUUUGGGUGUGUCAGACAUACCCCCUCUGCAGGCAUUGAACCACAUGAGGGUCGGUUCAGAAUGGGACCAAACUGCUUGCCCCAGAUUGCUUACCCCAGAGCUGUGUUUUCAAACUUUUUAUCCAAGCAGCAGAACUUUUUCUCAAACAAUCUCACACAGCACCUCUUUAUAUAAAACAUUAAUAAGUAGUCUAUGAGGGGAGGCCUGGAGCGCCCCCUCCCGUCCCCCUCCCCCUUCCAGAAGCUCUUCUCACCUGAGGAGGGGCCGCGGGGACCUUCUUGUCCUUCUGGCUGAAGAGGGAGCACUCCCUGCGUGAACUCAAGGACCUGAAAGUAGAUGAGCGGUUCACAGAGGUGUCCGGACCUCCACAGUCACCGAGCAGCGCAGUACAAGUGACCCAGGUACAGAGACCGAGGGGCCGCACCUGCGCCGGAGGCACCGCCACACCCUCCACCUCGCCAAGGAGAGGGUGUGGGCCCCGCUGUCCCCACGAAGUUCAGCCAGAGGGGGUGGGAGCUGAGGUUUGUGGGACAGACCUAGACAGGCCCGGGGGAUAGGAGGGUUGACAGGUGCGGAGGACUCCGUGGGUGGGGGGCACGAGGCUUCCACGUGGACGGCUGGACCCUGGCCAGGCCGGCGAUGUGCAGGUGGGUGGCAGGGGAGAGGUGAAUUAGGAGCCCCGGCCGGGGGUGGGGGUGGGGGGUAGGGGUUUGAUCUGAUAGGCGAAGCUAGAACAAUCAGAGUUCUCCCCAGGAGCUUUGUGUAAUCUCAGCCUCACAAAGACACCUGAGGGUGGGGGAGAACUGAACCCAGACCCGGAAAGAGGGACAGUGGCUACUGGGACGAGGGUGGGGCACAGGGAGGAAGCCGCUUGGCCGCAGAUAAGGAGUAGACUGGCAGAGGAAAGGCUCAGCGGGGACAAUUCGUGAACCCAAUGGGGUCUUCGGAGGGGGGCGUUUGGGAGGGCGCUCAUGUGAGCGGAGACCUUUGGACACGAAGCCACCGGCUCCUGGCAUUCCUUGUUGACCCAGUCGGAGGAUCAGCGGGCCCGGACACUCACUCCCUAGUAGGGGUUCUUAGGCCCGGCUGACUCUCUGGCCCCGCCCCACUCUUGUAGCCCCGCCCCUGCCUCAGGUGUUGGAUCCACCCCGAUUUUCUGGUCGCGCGGCCCCUGGGCCCUGGGCCUCAGGCACUACCUGGCCUCGACUCUCUCGGCCCCGCCUCCUGAAACCUGGCCCCGGGCAGCUCUCUGGCCACGCCCCCUGGCCUCGGGCAAAGUCCUGGCUCUUUAGUCCCUCCUUCCAGUCCCAAGUCACGCCCCCGAAUUUGCAGCCGAAUCCCUGGCUUUUGGCUCGGCCUUUUGGAUUUCGGCCCAGGAAGUUCAGCCCGCACCCCGCGCAACCCUGCGCGGAGCUCGUUGGUUUUACACCUUUUCAAGCCAGUUCUGCUGCCCGGCCCAGAGCCCUCUUACCACCCUCACAUCGCAGGCAAGGCAACCGUUACUCCCCAGGGCCCCUCUGGACCAGACCCUGUCCUGUAUAUACACUUAUUUUGCAAAUCACCCAAACUGUUUCAGAAAAAUCUGAAAUUGAGUCCCAAGCCCUCUGCCCUCAAGCCAAAGAUGUUGCAGAGGAGCUGGAAGGAGUGUCUUCUCACUUGGGAAACAGUUGGCGCCCUCCUGAUGAGAAAUCCAUUAGAAAAGCUCCAGUGAGACAAGGGUUCUAGUCAGCUGAAAGGUCUUGGGCAAGUCAUUUAACUUCUGAGCCUCAGAUGCCCCCUCCCCCAUAACACUGGGGUUCCCUACAGGAUCUUGGAUGGCUGUGGCCAGGACCAAGUGAGCACAGGUACUGGAUGUUACCAGCGGGAAGAAGGAAGCCUGAGCCCCUAGGUCCUCGCUCUACAUGCUCUACACGAGGGGGCCCUUGUUUUUAUGGGGACACCCUGGCUUAUUUCCUCUGAGUUAAGCACUUGGCAGGCAUUCCUCCCCACCCAUGGCCUGGGGAGUCCAACCUGCCAAGACGUUAGAGGGUGUCCUGUCCCCUGUGCCUGGGACGCCUGCCUCCUCACCCUCAGUAAGCCGCCUUCACCCUGCCCCUAGACCACAGGCUGACAGACAUCUGAAAGUGGACACAAAGGAGCCAUCCCAACCUUUGCGGCUCUCAGCUCCCACCGCGCUCUCCCAGAGCAGUGAGGAGCUCACACCUCAUCUCUCGAUGAGAGAUUUGCCAAGGAGGGUGUCUUUGUCCUCAGAUAUUUCCCUAUCGUCCGUAAGCUGCAUAGCCUCUCUCCCCUCCCAAACUCUUCUGAAAAAUCCCCUGUGUGUUUUUUCAAAAUAAAAUUAAAUGACAGGAACUAACUAUUUAGGGAGGGGUUCCUGAGGGGAAAUGGAAUCUCUGCAACCUUGAGAUUACAGGACUUUUCUUCUUCUCAAAAGACAAGAAAAACAUGUCAGAUCAUUGAUAUUCUGAGCCAGACCUUGUUUUGAAAAUACGCUCUCCUCUGUCCUUCAACAAACUACAGCCUCUCUCCCUCUUUGAAAAUAAGACCACAUCAAGUCAGGGAUUAGAAAUGGGAAAAAUUCAAUCAGAGCCUCCCUCUGCCAGUUAUACAUCUCAGUACACUCCCAGGCGAGCAGAAUCAGCUCCCACUAUAACCCAGCUCAGCAUCAUCAUUCAAAACGCACCAGUAGGAAAUGGUGAAACAGAAGGACCUUUCAUCCCGAGUGAGCGAGGCCUGCAGCACUGCUCUCCUAGCUCUGGAAGCUGGCGGUGUCUGGGGCCAGUGGAGCUGGGGCCUGUUGCUUAAAUAGGCAGUGGGAGGGGGUUAGGGCGGGCCUGGGGGGGUGGGCAUGGAAAGUGGGCCAUUUACCCAGCACAGAAAGGCAGUGUCCGCCGAGCCAGCAGUGGUCCUAAACACGCGCCUGCCUGCUUAUCCACCAUGAGCCUCAAGCCCACAGGCCCACAGACCACAGACCAUCACCUGGGAUGACCCCUGAUGGACGUGCAGCUCCAAGUGAGACCACAUGCCCAGACACACAGAGCUUGGUCUGGGUUCCUGGAUGCCUCUACCUGUCCUGAGACACAGCCUGGAGAGCAGAACCAGCUGUGGAGUUGGAUGGACCUGCUCCCUAGACCAGUUCCUGACACUACCUCUUUGAGCCCCGAGGAGGCAUCCUGGCCUGAGGUGGACUGAGCUGGCAUCUCUGAGGCAGAUGUGGCCAGCCCUCACCUCGUUCUCCAGAAACCACCAAAAAGUCAGCCCAGCUGACCAACAGAGAUCCCAGACCCUUCUCUGCAAAUUCAUGGAGGUGGUGGCCACUAAGAGCCAACAACGUUCCGCAGACUCCUACCCCAGCCUCCCUUCACUGCACGGGCCUGCCUUCCAGACCUCUCUGCAAAGCUCCAACACGCCCUCACCCACACCAGGGCCAGCUAAUGACCUACCUCUGGUCCAUCAAGUCCCUCUUUUGGACUGUUGCUUCUCCAGCUCCUCUCACAAUUGAUAGAGGGUCAGAGACGACCAGGGACCCUUCCCUCAUGCUCUACAUAGCGGAUGCCUCCGGGUCCAGUUUCCAAGCACUGGCUCGUGCAUUUACCCCGUGGGAUGAUGAUGAUGAAGUACUCAGCCUUAUUCCUAACGUAAGUAUAAUGACAAUGAUGAUAAAGGCAGCAUCAGAGAGUCGGGGAGAGAACAGAUUUUGGAGCCAGACUGCCUGGGCCCAAAUCCUGGCUCCACCUCUCACUGAGUAUGGGAAACUGGAGGUCACUUGACUUCUUUGUGCCAGGCUCCCUCAUCUGUAAAUUGGGACUCAGAGAAGCUAAUUAUGGGAUGUGUUUAGAUGGGUGCCUGGCACAUGGUAGCAUCCUUACCAGCUAUUGGUAUUAUUAUUUUAUUGAUAUCAUUGCUGUAGGCCAAGGCCUUUUCAUGUACUGUGUCAUUUGAAUCUCACAAUCCUAUCAGGGAGAAGAUAUUAUUAUUAUCACUCUUUACGGAUGAGGAAACUGAGGCUCAGAGAGGUUGACGGACUUGCCCAAAGAUACCCAGCCUGAUAUGGAGCCUGUCUAGCCCUUGCAAAGCUGUACAGCCUGCUUACCUGGGAUGAUAAGCGGCACUUCACCCUUAUCCCUUUUAUCCCUGCCCAGCCAGGUGGAAGGUUCUACCACCUCUACUUAAUGCACGGAGAUAACGGCUAGGCUUGGCUUCCUGUGAAACUGUUCCACUUUGGAAAAACCCUGGACCACUGGCCAUGAGGGUCAUACACUCACCUUUCCCCUUCUUUGGUAAUCAAGUUCAGGUAACAAGCCCUUUGUCAGGAUAAGAUGUAAAGUAUGUGGCAAUACCCUUGCUCAAUUUGAAAGGACUCCUUGUGAUUUAUGUCUGAAUCUUAGUUGGUCCCCAAUCCCAUUACUCUAAAAUUUGGUUAGAAUCUCACAGAAGACAGUACAAUACUUCAAUUUUUCUUCUACAAUAGCAGUAGGGAAAAAAAAUAGUGGUCAGGAGGAGUCUCUGGAGUCUAAGAUAUCCAGGCUGGAGCAUAAACGCUGCUCCUUCUGACCUGUAUAACCAUGGACAAACCCCUUUCCUCUCAAAGUUUCAUUUCCUCAUCUUGAAAGUGGAAGUAACACCACCACCCACAUCAAAGGACUGUGAGGAUUAAAUACAUCCUUACAUGUGAAGAGCCUGACUCAGAAAUGUUUCCUCUUAUUAUUAGCUUGUAAUUCUUUAAAUAGGGAUCACUGAUGGGUUCAUUCGAAGUGAUGCAGUAGAUCGUCUACAGCUAUGUUUUCUCCUGUUCCAUUCUGUGAUGAGCUUUGGGGAAAUCCUCACAGAGGCCGUGGUCCUCAGAGCUUGCUUCUGCUCCAUGCCCUAAAAUUCUCCCUUUCCACUAGGCGGGGCUGGGGCCAGUGCUCCAGAACCUUGGACAGCUCCACACCCUAGGGACUGCUGGGCGGCCUGAGGGAGCAGGAAGCACUUGGGGGAUUUUCCCAGAAGGGCUGCAUUAGUGUGGGGAUUUAGGAAUCCCAAAAGCCGCAGUCUCAUUCCCAGCCUGUGUACCACUUGAAUGCAUACGGAGAUUCUUCAACACAACCAGCCCUCCUGGAAAAUUCUGAGGAGCCUCUCCUCAGAAACUCCAUCCAUAGGAGUUACCGAAUCUUCAGGGCCUUUCCUUCUCUCCUAUGAAUUCCAAGGAUUUUUUCUUUUCUGAGCCCAAGAAGAACAGAAAUACUACCCACAACUUCCUGUAUCUGCCGAUUUUUAAUUUGUUUGGCUUCAGUACAAGGACUAAACAUUCUUGAUUAACCUCAAGUGAAAGUAAUAAUGUAUAAGUAUGAAGAAAGGCUUUAGAAGACAGAGAUUCACGUAUGAAUUUUAAAAAACAAUGUUAUUGCCUGUAUCUGAUGUUAAGCAACAUUCUCUAAUUAGGAUAAGCAGGUAGUUCAAUUUAUGAGAUAAUUUAGCUUUUCGCUCUCCAGUGCAGAACACAACAUGCAUAUGCAGUCACCUUCCAAACAGGCAAGGAGGAGAUUAAGUCCUAUUUUUACUUUAUGAUACUGAGUCAUGUAGUUCAAUGAAAAUCACAUGGAUGCCAAAGUAAGAACAAUACCAGGUAUUUAAAUAUCUCUUUUCCUUUAAGGAGCUCUAAAGAGUUUGUGGCUGCAUGAAAUCACUUCAGAGCAACACCAGGAGAGGAGACACAUGUCAUCAGGUGGGCAUUUAAGACUGAGCACAUCUCAUCCAUCUCCCCUGCUCCCAUCAUUAGGCCUGGAGGAGCCAAUGUUUCCCAGUUCUUUGCAUUUAGAAAUAGACUCUUGAUAUCUGCAUUUUCAGGGCCGUAUUGUUGAUGAGAAAAAGAAAGCAUAUGUUUGAAAAAUGUGUUUUUGACUAAUAAUGAGGAAGAGGGGAGGAUAAAAGUAGAAUAGGAAGAAAAAGGAGAAAGGAAUUGAAGAAGGAGAGGAAAAGAGGAAAUAUACUUAAAUCUCCCUGAGCUUGAUGAAUGUUUUUCAUGCUUUUUUCUCUUAAACAAAUUUGAUGCCCACCCCCAACUGGAUGAAAACUUGAACAAACGUCUUUAGGCCCUCUUUAAAUAUUUCCAUAUAGGCGAGAACAGUGGCAGUUCCAUUGCUUGAAGGAACUGCAGACAAGAACAUCGACUCAGGACUCCAAAAGCAGACAAGUAGCCCCUAAAUGGUUUUUACCUAACAAUGCCCACACCCACCUUGAGCUUUCACACCGUGGGGGAGUGUUAGUUGCCAAAUUUCAAAUUGGUUUCACUUCUGCCCAGCAGAGGUCGCUGUGGAUACUUGUGGAGACUGGACCGGGCAGGGCUGGGCUGGAUGGUGGCUCUGGUAACUGUUCUUCCUGUGGUUCCAUUGGGCACUGUCUAGCCCCUCAUCAUACAGGAAAGGAGUCUCUGGUGACAGCACCUUUGCUGUCAAAGUGCUAUGAAACUGAGGUCACUUGGUGGGAGUGGGCAGGUCUGGGAGGGCUGUCCUCAUCCUCCUGGGAUAUCUACCCAUAGUGAUAUAUCUGUGUCACGUUCGUGCCCUCUCCGUGAGUGUACCUGGUAUUACUGAGAGGCCACCAUCACUGACCAGCAACUCCAGCCCCAUGGUCCUUCCAGAUAGAGGCCAAAGUGACAAAAGUUGUCUUGCCACACAAUCUUGCACCCACCUCUGCUGUUGAGCUCCCCAAGCCCCACUUGUCAGCCCAUGAUGGUGGGGGGCAGAAUUCUGGUCCUUAGGGCAGCCUUUUACAGCAGGAUAAGGUUUCUGAGGGAUGGGAAGGGCAGAACCCUGGUGAGGAUAUUAGGGUCAGACCCAAAUCACCAGAAGGGCUGAAGAGAGCUCCACAUACUUGUGAGAUUCCACUUUCUGCGCCACACCGCAUGCACAUGAUCUGAAGCUACCUCCACCCUGAGGGCAUCCCCUGGGACCCUAGGUCAUUACUGCAGCUUGAGGGUUGGAGGGGUGACUACCCUGCCC